rnacentral:rRNA from 1 species
GCGGAGGAAAAGAAACCAACAGGGAUUGCCUUAGUAGCGGCGAGUGAAGCGGCAAAAGCUCAAAUUUGAAAUCUGGCACUUUCAGUGUCCGAGUUGUAAUUUGAAGAAGGUAUCUUUGGGUCUGGCUCUUGUCUAUGUUUCUUGGAACAGAACGUCACAGAGGGUGAGAAUCCCGUGCGAUGAGAUGACCCAGACCUAUGUAAAGUUCCUUCGAAGAGUCGAGUUGUUUGGGAAUGCAGCUCUAAGUGGGUGGUAAAUUCCAUCUAAAGCUAAAUAUUGGCGAGAGACCGAUAGCGAACAAGUACAGUGAUGGAAAGAUGAAAAGAACUUUGAAAAGAGAGUGAAAAAGUACGUGAAAUUGUUGAAAGGGAAGGGCUUGAGAUCAGACUUGGUAUUUUGUAUGUUACUCUCUCGGGGGUGGCCUCUACAGUUUACCGGGCCAGCAUCAGUUUGGGCGGUAGGACAAUUGCAAAGAAAUGUGGCACUGCCUCGGUAGUGUGUUAUAGUCUUUGUCGAUACUGCCAGCCUAGACUGAGGACUGCGGCUUCGGCCUAGGAUGUUGGCAUAAUGAUCUUAAGUCGCCCGUCUU